UACGUAGGGUGCGAGCGUUGUCCGGAAUUACUGGGCGUAAAGAGCUCGUAGGUGGUUUGUCGCGUUGUUCGUGAAAUCUCACGGCUUAACUGUGAGCGUGCGGGCGAUACGGGCAGACUGGAGUACUGCAGGGGAGACUGGAAUUCCUGGUGUAGCGGUGGAAUGCGCAGAUAUCAGGAGGAACACCGGUGGCGGAGGCGGGUCUCUGGGCAGUAACUGACGCUGAGGAGCGAAAGCGUGGGGAGCGAACAGG
rnacentral:rRNA from 1 species